AGCGUCUUAACUCAGUCGGUAGAGUGUUGGGCUCAUACAAUUCAAGUAUUAACUUGAAAGUGGCACCCAAAUGUCCUCGGAUCAAGACCGAGAGACGCUA